rnacentral:ncRNA from 1 species
GAAAGCCGUGUGCAUUGAAAGGUGCAGGCACGGUUUGGAGGGGGGAGUUGGAAAAGCAGUUCGGCUGCUCGCUGGCUUCCUACCCUAC